UUGCGCACUUUAUCCGGGUAUCUUAGCAACGAACCAGAAAUAGAUAAUGAAAACAGUCUGCAUUUAAGUUUACACCUGUACAUACCUGUUAAGUAAGUGUUUUAUUGAUUUAUGUUUUGUCAUACAAAGUAUGGAUUUUAGGAUAACAAUACAAUUGCAAGACAAUAUUGGAUUACCUGUCAAGCGUAUUCGAGUACUGACUUACAUGAUGGAUGUGCGAAAGGAUCACGUAGCCGUUUAAAAAUGACUUUUGGUACGGAUAUUCCGGUGACGCUGGGAAGCGUCGACUCUGAUGCCCUCAAAGAUUGUUUGCUGGACCGAAAAGACACCAAGACUCGACUGCCUGUGUAAGAGGUUGUCUGAUCGGUCGGGGUCUUCACCGAAGUCAGGAUUAAUACAUUACACUGUAUAAUUUACUCAACAUAUAUGAAGAUAUCUCAAGUAAUUUCAAAUCAAGCAGUAAAUUAUAAUCAUAAUGCAUUUCCAUAGAUGAAACGGUCAAAUGCAUAUUUGUUAAUCGUCGAACGAAAUCGUUAUAUGACGGAAAUUCAUUAUUUUAUCUGAAUAUAUGGAAUAAAGAUUAUUGUUUUAUAUUGUUGCCCUUUUUUUGUUUCUCUCAAAAGUUGCAACUUUCUGUUAUUAUGAAGCUAAAAACCCGCAACGGAAAGCGAGAGAAUAUUUAAACGUCAGAUUAUGUUUUAAGAACAUCGAAUAUAACCAUUCAAAAAAACAGAUGCACAACCCGCACUGUGAUUGAAACGCCCUUUCGGAAUGAACGAAAUAAAAAAAAACCAUUGAAAUAAGCGGAACGAAACAGCAAAGAACGCUAAUGCUAAUUUAGCCAAAUACACGACAGCCAAAAUAAAAAGCGGUAAUAGAAAAUAGUAGAGGUUGGGAGUACUAGCUACCGUUACCACAACCACCAU